AGAGUUUGAUCAUGGCUCAGAACGAACGCUGGCGGCAUGCCUAACACAUGCAAGUCGAACGAAGCCUUCGGGCUUAGUGGCGCACGGGUGCGUAACGCGUGGGAAUCUGCCUUGGGGUACGGAAUAACUCUUCGAAAGGGGUGCUAAUACCGUAUGACGUCUUUGGACCAAAGAUUUAUCGCCCUGAGAUGAGCCCGCGUUGGAUUAGCUGGUUGGUGGGGUAAAGGCCUACCAAGGCGACGAUCCAUAGCUGGUCUGAGAGGAUGAUCAGCCACACUGGGAGUGAGACACGGCCCAGACUCCUACGGGAGGCAGCAGUGGGGAAUAUUGGACAAUGGGCGCAAGCCUGAUCCAUUC
rnacentral:rRNA from 1 species